rnacentral:rRNA from 1 species
UACCAGCACCCCGAGUGGUCGGGACGUUUAUUGGGCCUAAAGCAUCCGUAGCCGGUUCUACAAGUCUUCCGUUAAAUCCAACUGCUUAACAGGUGGGCUGCGGAAGAUACUAUAGAGCUAGGAGGCGGGAGAGGCAAGCGGUACUCAGUGGGUAGGGGUAAAAUCCUUUGAUCCAUUGAAGACCACCAGUGGCGAAGGCGGCUUGCCAGAACGCGCUCGACGGUGAGGGAUGAAAGCUGGGGGGGCAAACCGG